UACGUAGGGGGCUAGCGUUGUCCGGAAUCAUUGGGCGUAAAGAGCGUGUAGGCGGCCAGAAAAGUCCGCUGUGAAAACUCGAGGCUCAACUUCGAGCUGUCGGUGGAAACUUUCUGGCUAGAGUCCGGAAGAGGAGAAUGGAAUUCCUGGUGUAGCGGUGAAAUGCGCAGAUAUCAGGAAGAACACCCGUGGCGAAGGCGGUUCUCUGGGACGGUACUGACGCUGAGACGCGAAAGCGUGGGGAGCAAACGGG
rnacentral:rRNA from 1 species